UGAGGAAUAUUGGUCAAUGGGCGGUAGCCUGAACCAGCCAAGUAGCGUGAAGGAUGAAGGUUCUAUGGAUUGUAAACUUCUUUUAUAAAGGAAUAAAGUGAGGCACGUGUGCCUUUUUGUAUGUACUUUAUGAAUAAGGAUCGGCUAACUCCGUGCCAGCAGCCGCGGUAAUACGGAGGAUCCGAGCGUUAUCCGGAUUUAUUGGGUUUAAAGGGAGCGUAGAUGGGUUGUUAAGUCAGUUGUGAAAGUUUGCGGCUCAACCGUAAAAUUGCAAUUGAUACUGGCGUCCUUGAGUACAGUUGAGGUGGGCGGAAUUCGUGGUGUAGCGGUGAAAUGCUUAGAUAUCAUGAAGAACUCCGAUCGCGAAGGGCAAGUGCCCGGGGGUGCAACUGACGCUGAGGCUCGAAGGUGCGGGUAUCGAACAGGAUUAGAUACCC
rnacentral:rRNA from 1 species